rnacentral:sRNA from 1 species
CUGUGAAGUAUUAUACCAAAUGUAAGUAGUUAUUUAUAACAAAAACAGAUACAUUGAAGCAGUAA